rnacentral:rRNA from 1 species
CGUUACGAUUCGCCCUUAGAGUUUGAUCAUGGCUCAGAAUGAACGUUGGCGGCGUGGAUUAGGCAUGCAAGUCGAGCGAAAAGCUUCCUUCGGGAGGUGGACAGCGGCGAAAGGGAGAGUAACGCGUGGAUUAUCUGCCCUCGGGUCCGGGAUAGCUGCGGGAAACUGCAGGUAAUACCGGAUAACAUCUCAGGAUUAAAGGUGUGAUUCCGCCUGAGGAUGAGUCCGCGUCCUAUUAGCUUGUUGGUGGGGUAAUGGCCUACCAAGGCUUUGAUGGGUACUGGGUGUGAGAGCACGACCCAGCUCACUGGGACUGAGACACUGCCCAGACACCUACGGGUGGCUGCAGUCGAGAAUCUUCGGCAAUGGGCGAAAGCCUGACCGAGCGACGCCGCGUGCGGGAUGAAGGCCUUCGGGUUGUAAACCGCUGUCAGAGGGGAUGAAAUGCAUGGGGGUUAUCCCCCAUGUUUGACAAAUCCUCAGAGGAAGUACGGGCUAAGUUCGUGCCAGCAGCCGCGGUAAGACGAACCGUACGAACGUUAUUCGGAAUUACUGGGCUUAAAGGGUGCGUAGGCGGCGCUGAAAGUUGGGUGUGAAAUCCCUCGGCUUAACCGAGGAACUGCGCCCAAAACUUCAGUGCUUGAGGGAGACAGAGGUGAGCGGAACUUAGGGUGGAGCGGUGAAAUGCGUUGAUAUCCUAAAGGAACGCCAGUGGCGAAAGCGGCUCACUGGGUCUCUUCUGACGCUGAGGCACGAAAGCUAGGGUAGCGAACGGGAUUAGAUACCCCGGUAGUCCUAGCUGUAAACGAUGAGCACUGGGUGGGAGAGUCCUUCAUAGCUUUCCAACCGAAGCGAAAGUGUUUAGUGCUCCGCCUGGGGGAGUAUGGUCGCAAGGCUGAAACUCAAAGGAAUUGACGGGGGCUCACACAAGCGGUGGAGGAUGUGGCUUAAUUCGAGGCUACGCGAAGAACCUUAUCCUAGCCUUGACAUGCACGGAUUAACCCUGUGAAAGCAGGGCGACGCCUUCGGGUGGAACGUGCACAGGUGCUGCAUGGCUGUCGUCAGCUCGUGUCGUGAGAUGUCGGGUUAAGUCCCUUAACGAGCGAAACCCUUGUCACUAGUUGCCAGCGCGUUAUGGCGGGGACUCUAGUGAGACUGCCGGUGUCAAACCGGAGGAAGGUGGGGAUGACGUCAAGUCCUCAUGGCCUUUAUGGCUAGGGCUGCACACGUCCUACAAUGGUACGAACAAAGGGACGCGAACUCGCGAGAGCAAGCAAAUCCCACAAAUCGUGCCUCAGUUCGGAUUGCAGGCUGCAACUCGCCUGCAUGAAGCCGGAAUCGCUAGUAAUCGCAGGUCAGCAUACUGCGGUGAAUAUGUUCCUGAGCCUUGUACACACCGCCCGUCAAGCCACGAAAGUGGGGGGUAUCCGAAGUCGCCAAGCCAACCUCCGGGAGGCAAGCGCCGAAGAUAAACUCCGCGAUUGGGACUAAGUCGUAACAAGGUAUCCGUAAAGGGCGAAUCGCGUC